UACAGAGGUCUCAAGCGUUGUUCGGAAUUACUGGGCGUAAAGGGUGCGCAGGCCGCGCGGGCAGUCAAAUGUGUAAUUCAGGGGCUCAACCCCUGCACUGCGCUUGAUACUUCCGCGCUCGAGCUUUGGAAGGAGUCUGGAAUUCUCGGUGUAGCAGUGAAAUGCGUGGAUAUCGAGAAGAACACUUAGGGCGAAGGCAAGACUCUGGACAAAUGCUGACGCUCAUGCACGAAGGCUAGGGUAGCGAACGG
rnacentral:rRNA from 1 species